GGCGCCGCCCCAGUACUUGUUACUUUCUAAGGAUGUGUGAGCAGGGCGACGGUUUUGUUUUCGUGGGUUACCUAGGACAAUCUUGCGGUCAACGUUACUGCAACUAAAUGCAGGAGCGGGUAAAACCCACCCCUGCCACCCUCCGCACGCGGGCCGCUUUCCCACCGAGCCUACAUUUCCCAGAGAGCCCUGCGGGCCCGGAGAGGGCGCGGGGGCGGGGUCUCAGAGGACCCGGAUUGAAACAAGAUGGCGGGCUCGCGGUGAAGCGCUGUCAAGGUAACCGCUGGUGUCUCCUCUGCUCGAAAGUACUUCAGAGGUGGACAGUUGUAGAAGGCUUGUCUGCAGAUGGAGCUUUAUAUUGUGUUUGUCAUAAAUCUACAUAUUCUUCUCUACCAGAUGACUAUAAUUGCAAAGUGGAGCUUGCUUUGACAUCUGAUGGCAGGACAAUAGUAUGCUACCAUCCUUCUGUGGACAUUCCAUAUGAACACACAAAACCUAUUCCUCUACCAGAUCCUGUGUGUAAUAAUGAAGAAACACAUGAUCAAGUGCUGAAAACCAGAUUAGCAGAAAAAAGUGAACGCCUUGAACAAGGACCCAUGAUAGAACAACUUAGCAAAAUGUUCUUUACUACUAAGCACCGUUGGUAUCCUCGUGGACAAACCGUCCUGGGUUGAUGGUGGUCCAAGGAAAAUGAGAGAAAUAUGGAGUGGACUGAUCUGAAUCUGUAGCCCAAAGAAGAGCUGCCCCAGCUGACCCUUAGACCUGUGAUGACAGCAAAGAAACACUUUGGGGAGACAGAACAUACUUUCAAAGUGUCAUCAAUAGCGCUGUGCACCUGUUCUACAAAGCAAAAUCUCACAGCACCUGUCGGCAAGAGCAGAAGAGCCUAAAUUAAGAGUGUGGCCUCCGCAUGGACAGGAAACCUGGUUCCUUCUUUCACCAGCUGAGCAACUCUGGGCAAGUUAUUUAAACUCUCUGUGACUCGAUAAAAUGAGGGUGAUGUGGGGAUUUCUGAUGCCAAAACACAUGAAGAACUAAGCAACAUUGCUGGCAUAUGAUCCACAGCUAGCUCUACCACUCAGAACUGCUAUGCUUGGGCAAGUUACUCAACCUCUUGGAACCCCAGUUUUUCUCAUGUGUAAAAAUGGCACUGACUUCUUAGUACUGUGAUAAGGAUUAAUAAAUGAAUACAUGCAAAGUAUUAGGACAGUGAUGAUAAAUAUAAAUGUGAUCUGUUGGCAUUAUUCUUAUUAGGAUGGGGCCACCAUCACUUUGGAGGAUUCAUAACUAAGCCACCACCACCAUGGUGAUGCAUCUCAUAUGGUCACCAAGACCUUUUAGGUUGGGAAGAACCCCAGUUCCCAUACUGUGGGGGUCAUUCAGAACAAUAUCACCUAUCUUCUUAUCAGGAAAUGAAACCAUAGCGCUCUGCUGAGAUGCAUGUGUAAUAUCUGAAAAGAAAGCCAAGGGGCAAAGUGAGUUCUCAGAAACACACUGUGAGCUGCCUUAAAGGAAUGCAGAGAGCGCCUACCUGCUUCUCUGGUUUCUCCACUUUGUAAUUCUCUAUUUUCUUGUUGCUUUAUUGAUUUGGUGUUUUUAUGCUCUGUAACAUAGGGAGAACAUUAGGUUAAGGGACCUUGCCAUUUUCCUAGUCAGAGCAGUCCUUUCAACAAUACCAAGAAUUCGCACUUCGGUAGGUAAUGAAUGACAAGGAAUAUGACAGCCCAUUAGUAAACAAGCGAAUUAUUUGAUGGCAAUGGCUGAUUUAAUCAAAACAUUCUGGUUUCCCUCAUCUGAACCUGCGCAAGGAAUGGACCAAUCCAAUUGGAAAAAAAUAUUUGUUUUAUCUUUGCCACAUUUAUUUACUCUUAGGGACUGUUUAACUUGAUCUGGCAGAGAAGUCGGAAAGAACAAAAAUACUCAAGGCACUAAACUGCCUUCUAUGUCUCUGGCAACGGGCAGGAAUGUUAGGGGCUUGGGGGUAUUUCCACAGGGCCCCUUUCUGAAAGUCCUUUGCCCUCAUUUUCAUGGCUAGAGAAUUGACCUAUUCAUAUGCCAGGUUUGGGAGCCAGAGAGUGCAGAGUGCAAAUUAGGGGAAAUACAUCAGGAAUUGAACCCCCUGCUAGCUUUGAAUCCCCAAAGUAUGAAAUAUUCUACUAAAUUUACUGAAAAUUACAUGGGUAAGGCAUUGUGCUAGAUGUUACAGAAAGGCAAAGAUAAAUUAGAUGUGGAUUCAAUCUCAAGAAUCUUCCAGUGGAAUAGAGCACAUAAAAGGCACGCAAAUACCUGUGGGUAGUAGAAAGCUCCAGGUGUGUUGGAGGCUGGUACUCCUGGAGCAGAGCUGGCCAUGGGGCUUCUGUACAGGUACUUUCUUGAUGGAGGGCUCUCAGAAUUAAAGAUUUGAGUGCAGCUGAAUAAGGCAGGGGAGAAGCUGGGCAAAGAGGAGGCCACAGCCUAAGUGUGAGCUCAUUCUGUGCUCUGGAGGACAACUGGUGCCUGUAAUAUAAUAAAAAAUAUAUGUUUGGGCUCAACACCCAGAGUUCAGUGGUUAGAGUGCUGGCCAUAUGCACCGGGGCUGGCAGGUUGGAACCUAGCCCGGGCCUGCUAAACAACAAAAAAAUAGCCAGGCAUUGUGGCGGGUGCCUGUAGUCCCAGUUACUUGGGAGGCUGAGGCAAGAGAAUCACUUAAGCCCAAUAGUUUGAGGUUGCUGUGAGCUGUGAUGUCACAGCACUCUACUGAGGGUGAUAUAGUAAGACUCUGACUCAAAAAAAAAAAAAGUAUAUGUUUGAUCUUUG